UACGGGGGGGGCAAGCGUUGUUCGGAAUCACUGGGCGUAAAGGGCGCGUAGGCGGCUGUUCAAGUCGGGGGUGAAAGCCUGUGGCUCAACCACAGAAUUGCCUUCGAUACUGGACGGCUCGAGACCGGAAGAGGUCAGUGGAACUGCGAGUGUAGAGGUGAAAUUCGUAGAUAUUCGCAAGAACACCAGUGGCGAAGGCGGCUCACUGGCCCGAUACUGACGCUGAGGCACGAAAGCGUGGGGAGCAAACAGG
rnacentral:rRNA from 1 species